CAGUAGCCGCGGGAAUACGAAGGGGGCUAGCGUUGUUCGGAUUUACUGGGCGUAAAGGGCGCGUAGGCGGACUGAUAAGUCAGGGGUGAAAUCCCAAGGCUCAACCUUGGAACUGCCUUUGAUACUGUUUGUCUUGAGUUCGAGAGAGGUAAGUGGAACUGCGAGUGUAGAGGUGAAAUUCGUAGAUAUUCGCAAGAACACCAGUGGCGAAGGCGGCUUACUGGCUCGAAACUGACGCUGAGGCGCGAAAGCGUGGGGAGCAAACAGGAUUAGAUACCCGGGUAGUCCCUGUCUCUUAUAC
rnacentral:rRNA from 1 species